AGCUUGCUNNNUGGAUUAGUGGCGAACGGGUGAGUAACACGUGAGUAACCUGCCCUUGACUCUGGGAUAAGCACUGGAAACGGUGUCUAAUACCGGAUAUAUCAGCUGGCCGCAUGGUCUGGUUGUGGAAAGAAUUUUGGUCAAGGAUGGACUCGCGGCCUAUCAGGUAGUUGGUGAGGUAAUGGCUCACCAAGCCUACGACGGGUAGCCGGCCUGAGAGGGUGACCGGCCACACUGGGACUGAGACACGGCCCAGACUCCUACGGGAGGCAGCAGUGGGGAAUAUUGCACAAUGGGCGAAAGCCUGAUGCAGCAACGCCGCGUGAGGGAUGACGGCCUUCGGGUUGUAAACCUCUUUUAGUAGGGAAGAAGCGAAAGUGACGGUACCUGCAGAAAAAGCACCGGCUAACUACGUGCCAGCAGCCGCGGUAAUACGUAGGGUGCAAGCGUUGUCCGGAAUUAUUGGGCGUAAAGAGCUCGUAGGCGGUUUGUCGCGUCUGCUGUGAAAACUGGAGGCUCAACCUCCAGCCUGCAGUGGGUACGGGCAGACUAGAGUGCGGUAGGGGAGAUUGGAAUUCCUGGUGUAGCGGUGGAAUGCGCAGAUAUCAGGAGGAACACCGAUGGCGAAGGCAGAUCUCUGGGCCGUAACUGACGCUGAGGAGCGAAAGCAUGGGGAGCGAACAGGAUUAGAUACCCUGGUAGUCCAUGCCGUAAACGUUGGGAACUAGAUGUGGGGGCCAUUCCACGGUCUCCGUGUCGCAGCUAACGCAUUAAGUUCCCCGCCUGGGGAGUACGGCCGCAAGGCUAAAACUCAAAGGAAUUGACGGGGGCCCGCACAAGCGGCGGAGCAUGCGGAUUAAUUCGAUGCAACGCGAAGAACCUUACCAAGGCUUGACAUAUACGAGAACGGGCCAGAAAUGGUCAACUCUUUGGACACUCGUAAACAGGUGGUGCAUGGUUGUCGUCAGCUCGUGUCGUGAGAUGUUGGGUUAAGUCCCGCAACGAGCGCAACCCUCGUUCUAUGUUGCCAGCACGUUAUGGUGGGAACUCAUAGGAGACUGCCGGGGUCAAYUCGGAGGAAGGNGGGGAUGACGUCAAAUCAUCAUGCCCCUUAUGUCUUGGGCUUCACGCAUGCUACAAUGGCCGGUACAAAGGGCUGCAAUACCGUAAGGNGGGC
rnacentral:rRNA from 1 species